UAAUAAGCAAGAUCAUGGCCAAGACUGUUAAAGCUAUCCAGUUUUUUGCACUCUUCUUCAUUUUCGUCCUAAUUGCAAACUGGGGGACGAUGGCAGAAGUGCAAGAAAAUCUUUGUGAGAGGGCUAGCCAAACAUGGUCUGGGAAGUGCGGCAACACUGACCAUUGUAACAAUCAAUGCAAGCAAUGGGAGGAUGCAAGGAGUGGAGCUUGUCAUAAAAGAGGUGGCAAUUGGAAAUGCUUCUGCUACUUCAAUUGUCCUCUCGACAAACAUAAUUAAUAAAUUAUACCCUUCUUGCUUAGGGUUGCUCGAACUUCUUGUUCGUAGUAUAAAAUAAGCGAGCUGGCUAGCUUGCUAAUAAAGUGUUUCUAUGUUGAAACACGGACUGUGGUCUGAUUAAUGGCUGAUUAAUUCUGUACGUUCAUCAUCAAAGUAUUCUAAAUGAAAUGCUUUAUAAUUCAGAUAUAUAAAAUAUUACUUGUUUACUAUGCUA